rnacentral:tRNA from 1 species
GGUUCUGUAGUGUGCGGUUAUCACGUCGCCCUGUCCGGCGAAGAUCGCGGGUUCGAUUCACGUCAGAACGU